CAGGGAACGCAUGCUUGCAUAGAGUUUGAUCCUGGCUCAGAUUGAACGCUGGCGGCAUGCCUUACACAUGCAAGUCGAACGGCAGCACGGGUGCUUGCACCUGGUGGCGAGUGGCGAACGGGUGAGUAAUAUAUCGGAACGUACCUUGUAGUGGGGGAUAGCUCGGCGAAAGCCGGAUUAAUACCGCAUACGCUCUGAGGAGGAAAGCGGGGGACCUUCGGGCCUCGCGCUACAAGAGCGGCCGAUAUCAGAUUAGCUAGUUGGUGGGGUAAAAGCUUACCAAGGCGACGAUCUGUAGCUGGUCUGAGAGGACGACCAGCCACACUGGGACUGAGACACGGCCCAGACUCCUACGGGAGGCAGCAGUGGGGAAUUUUGGACAAUGGGCGAAAGCCUGAUCCAGCAAUGCCGCGUGUGUGAAGAAGGCCUUCGGGUUGUAAAGCACUUUUGUCCGGAAAGAAAUCCUUUGGGUUAAUACCUCGGGGGGAUGACGGUACCGGAAGAAUAAGCACCGGCUAACUACGUGCCAGCAGCCGCGGUAAUACGUAGGGUGCAAGCGUUAAUCGGAAUUACUGGGGCGUAAAAGCGUGCGCAGGCGGUUUUGUAAGACGGA
rnacentral:rRNA from 1 species